rnacentral:rRNA from 1 species
AUGUGCUUGCGGGAUAGGGAUCUCUGGCUUAUGCGGUGCCCACUGAUAUGCAACUGGGCUGUUGAGUUUCAUUUGCCACAUCGCGUGUUUCGUCGGUUUGGUCUGUUCCAGCCUCACCCGCCGGAAUGGGUGGAUACGGACAAAGCACUUCAUAGGUUGGACAGGAGAAGGCAACGGAAGAUAAAGGACUGGGACAAGCAUCAUGCUUCGUAUGUUACCCGCUUCCAGCUUUGCGUGGAGCAAGCUCGUAGCAGUGCACGCGCCCAGCUUCGUGAGUAUAACCCACUUGCUUUUGAUAACUACAUACGAUGGCUUCUUGAAAAUACUCGAGUUGAGAUAUGCCCGCCAGCAUAUAAUGAGGUGGUGUUCCGGGAGAACCCGUAA